GACCCCAAGUCAGGCGGGAUUACCCGCUGAGUUUAA
rnacentral:rRNA from 1 species